AUUGAACGCUGGCGGAAUGCUUUACACAUGCAAGUCGAACGGCAGCACGGACUUCGGUCUGGUGGCGAGUGGCGAACGGGUGAGUAAUAUAUCGGAACGUGCCCAGUCGUGGGGGAUAACGUAGUGAAAAUUACGCUAAUACCGCAUACGAUCUACGGAUGAAAGCGGGGGAUCGCAAGACCUCGCGCGAUUGGAGCGGCCGAUAUCAGAUUAGGUAGUUGGUGAGGUAAAGGCUCACCAAGCCAACGAUCUGUAGCUGGUCUGAGAGGACGACCAGCCACACUGGGACUGAGACACGGCCCAGACUCCUACGGGAGGCAGCAGUGGGGAAUUUUGGACAAUGGACGCAAGUCUGAUCCAGCCAUUCCGCGUGCAGGACGAGGGCCUUCGGGUUGUAAACUGCUUUUGUACAGAACGAAAAGGUUUCUAUUAAUACUAGGGGCUCAUGACGGUACUGUAAGAAUAAGCACCGGCUAACUACGUGCCAGCCGCCGCCGUAA
rnacentral:rRNA from 1 species